GAGAGUAAGGGCGCACGGUGGAUGCCUUGGCACUAGGAGCCGAAGAAGGACGUGACAAACGACGAUAUGCCUUGGGUAGCUGUAAGUAAGCGAUGAUCCAGGGAUUUCCGAAUGGGGGAACCCAACAGGUACUACCUGUUACCCAUCUCUGUUAAGGAGAUGAGGAGGAAGACGCAGUGAACUGAAACAUCUAAGUAGCUGCAGGAAGAGAAAGCAAAAGCGAUUGCCUUAGUAGCGGCGAGCGAAACGGCAGGAGGGCAAACCGAAGAGUUUACUCUUCGGGGUUGUAGGACUGCAAUGUGGACUCAAAGAUUAUAGAAGAAUGAUUUGGGAAGAUCAGCCAAAGAGAGUAAUAGCCUCGUAUUUAAAAUAGUCUUUGUACCUAGCAGUAUCCUGAGUACGGCGGGACACGUGAAAUCCCGUCGGAAUCUGGGAGGACCAUCUCCCAACCCUAAAUACUCCCUAGUGACCGAUAGUGAACCAGUACCGUGAGGGAAAGGUGAAAAGCACCCCGACAAGGGGAGUGAAACAGAUCCUGAAAUCGGAAGCCUACAAGCAGUCGGAGCCCCCAAGCGGGGUGACGGCGUACCUUUUG
rnacentral:rRNA from 1 species